rnacentral:rRNA from 1 species
UACGAAGGGGGCUAGCGUUGCUCGGAAUCACUGGGCGUAAAGCGCACGUAGGCGGCUUCUAAGUCAGGGGUGAAAUCCUGGAGCUCAACUCCAGAACUGCCUUUGAUACUGGAGAGCUUGAGUCCGGGAGAGGUGAGUGGAACUCCGAGUGUAGAGGUGAAAUUCGUAGAUAUUCGGAAGAACACCAGUGGCGAAGGCGGCUCACUGGCCCGGUACUGACGCUGAGGUGCGAAAGCGUGGGGAGCAACAGGG